GCCCCCAUCGUCUAACGGUCAGGACGUAAGAUUCUCAUUCUUGAAAUCGGAGUUCGAUUCUCCGUGGGGGUGCCA
rnacentral:tRNA from 1 species